rnacentral:rRNA from 1 species
UACGGAGGGUGCAAGCGUUUGUCCGGAAUCACUGGCGUAAAGGGCGCGUAGGCGGCUCAUGAAGGCUGUGGUGAAAUCCGGGGCUCAACCUCGGAUCGGCCGUGGCGACUCGUGGGCUGGAGCACUGUAGAGGCGGGUGGAAUUCCCGGGUGUAGCGGUGGAAUGCGUAGAGAUCCGGAAGAACACCAGUGGCGAAGGCGGCCCGCUGGGCAGUGGCUGACGCUGAGGC